GAUCAACGCUGGCGGCGCACAUAAGACAUGCAAGUUGAACGGACUUAAUCGAAAUAUUUAUAUUUUGAAGCGGUUAGUGGCGGACUGGUGAGUAACGCGUAAGGAACCUGCCUAUUAGAGGGGAAUAACAGUGAGAAAUCAUUGCUAAUACCGCAUAUGCCAUAGAUAUCACAUGAUAACAGUGGGAAAGGAGCAAUCCGCUAAUAGAUGGCCUUGCGUCUGAUUAGAUAGUUGGUGGGGUAACGGCCUACCAAGUCGACGAUCAGUAGCCGGACUGAGAGGUUGAACGGCCACAUUGGGACUGAGAUACGGCCCAGACUCCUACGGGAGGCAGCAGUCGGGAAUAUUGCGCAAUGGAGGAAACUCCGACGCAGUGACGCCGCGUAUAGGAAGAAGGUUUUCGGAUUGUAAACUAUUGUCGUUAGGGAAGAGAAAGGACAGUACCUAAGGAGGAAGCUCCGGCUAACUACGUG
rnacentral:rRNA from 1 species